rnacentral:rRNA from 1 species
ACGAACGCUGGCGGCGUGCUUCACCCAUGCCAGUCGCACGGAAAGGCCCUGCUUUUGUGGGGUGCUCGAGUGGCGAACGGGUGAGUAACACGUUAGUAACCUGCCCUUGACUUUGGGAUCACUUCAGGAAACUGGGGCUAAUACCGGAUAGGAGCUCCUGCUUCCUGGUGGGGGUUGGAAAGUUUCGGCGGUUGGGGAUGGACUCGCGGCUUAUCAGCUUGUUGGUGGGGUAGUGGCUUACCAAGGCCUUGACGGGUAGCCGGCCUGAGAGGGUGACCGGCCACAUUGGGACUGAGAUACGGCCCAGACUCCUACGGGAGGCAGCAGUGGGGAAUAUUGCACAAUGGGCGGAAGCCUGAUGCAGCAACGCCGCGUGCGGGAUGACGGCCUUCGGGUUGUAAACCGCUUUCGCCUGUGACGAAGCGUGAGUGACGGUAAUGGGUAAAGAAGCACCGGCUAACUACGUG